rnacentral:rRNA from 1 species
UACGUAGGGACCAAGCGUUGUUCGGAUUUACUGGGCGUAAAGGGCGCGUAGGCGGCAUGACAAGUCACUUGUGAAAUCUCUGGGCUUAACCCAGAACGGCCAAGUGAUACUGUCGCGCUAGAGUGCGGAAGGGGCAAUCGGAAUUCUCGGUGUAGCGGUGAAAUGCGUAGAUAUCGAGAGGAACACCUGCGGCGAAGGCGGGUAGCUGGGCCGACACUGACGCUGAUGCGCGGAAGCCAGGGGAGCAAACGGG